UGUUGAACGUGAAGGAUAACGUUGCGUCAGCAACGGCCCGUAGGGCAAGGCGAAGCCGAGUCAUCCUGCACGACCCACCA
rnacentral:sRNA from 5 species